GAUGAACGCUGGCGGCGUGCCUAAUACAUGCAAGUCGAGCGAAGGAUGUAGCAAUACGUCUUUAGCGGCGAACGGGUGAGUAACGCGUUGGUGACCUGCCUCGAAGCGUGGGAUAACAGUUCGAAAGGACUGCUAAUACCCCAUGUGGUCGCGAAGGUUAGAGUCUUUGCGACUAAAGGAGAAAUUCACUUCGGGAGGGGCCUGCGUCCCAUCAGCUAGUUGGUAGGGUAACGGCCUACCAAGGCUAUGACGGGUAGGGGACCUGAGAGGGUGGACCCCCACACUGGCACUGAAACACGGGCCAGACACCUACGGGAGGCAG
rnacentral:rRNA from 1 species